AAAUUUGUGAUUUUGUGUCUCACAGAAUCAGUAAUCUUUAUCUCUGAAACACACACACAGCACAGUGGAUUUCUGACUCCAAAACUCUUUUUAACUCCCCCUCACAGGCACAAAUAUC